rnacentral:piRNA from 1 species
UACUUCAGAGAUGUAUCUUCAGAGAUGU